UGCAAGUCUGGUGCCAGCAGCCCCGGUAAUCCCAGUUCCAAAAGCGUAUAUUAAAGUUGUUGCAGUUAAAAAGCUCGUAGUUGAACUUUGGGUCUGUUUGGCCGGUCCGAUUUUUUCGUGUACUGGACCCAACCGAGCCUUUCCUUCUGGCUAACCUUUCGCCCUUGUGGUGUUUGGCGAACCAGGACUUUUACUUUGAAAAAAUUAGAGUGUUCAAAGCAGGCCUUUGCUCGAAUAUAUUAGCAUGGAAUAAUAGAAUAGGACGUUAUGGUUCUAUUUUGUUGGUUUCUAGGACCAUCGUAAUGAUUAAUAGGGACGGUCGGGGGCAUCAGUAUUCAGUUGUCAGAGGUGAAAUUCUUGGAUUACCUGAAGACUAACUACUGCGAAAGCAUUUGCCAAA
rnacentral:rRNA from 1 species